CUGUGAUUUCUAUUGACUGCUGUAUAAAUUAGGGAUGCACCAAAUCCAGAUUUUUUGGGUUCGGCCGAAUACCAAAUCCACUGGUUAAGAUACUGCCGAAUCCAAAUACUGAAUCCUCCGCCAGUCCUCAGUCCAUUACCACAGUAAACACAUUAAUGAAAUAAACAACGCCCACAGCAGCGUAUUUUUCAUU